UACAGAGGUCCCAAGCGCUGUUCGGAUUCACUGGGCGUAAAGGGUGCGUAGGUGGUGAGGUAAGUCGGAUGUGAAAGCUCCGAGCUCAACUCGGAAAUGGCAUUGGAAACUACCUUGCUAGAGGGUUUGAGGGGGGACUGGAAUACUUGGUGUAGCAGUGAAAUGCGUAGAUAUCAAGUAGAACACCAGUGGCGAAGGCGAGUCCCUGGAAAACUCCUGACACUGAGGCACGAAAGCUAGGGGAGCAAACAGG
rnacentral:rRNA from 1 species